rnacentral:piRNA from 1 species
UAAAGGUUGACUAAUCUAAUAACAUGGGC